AUGCCGAGGAGGGGCCGUGCCAUGACUGAGGAUGAGGAGAUGCUAGCAGAGGAGGAGGACGAGAGACAGUACGAGAAGAGGAUUGUUGAGGACUUGACAGAGUUGAAAAUGAGGGUCAAUGCACCAAUAGAGCUUGUAAGAAAGGCGGUAAAGUUGGCCGGGUUCACAAAUUCCAUGGGACGGCCACGGCCGAUAAAGCUACUUAUCUGUCUGGAUGAUGCAGAUAUCAUCAAAUGGUAUGCUGGUGUGGGGAGAAGGUGGCUAGAUUUCUUCUGCUGCUGUCGGAAUUUCAAGAUGGUCAAGAUUGUUGUGAGUUAUCACUUGAGGUUCUCCUGCUUCUUGACAUUGGCGGAGAAGCACGAGUGCACCAAGAGGCAAGCAAUUAGCCAUUAUACAAAGGAUUUGAAGGUGACAAAUGAAAAUGGAGUGGCAGAAGUGUACUUCCCAACAGAGAGGGAGAUCAAGAUGAUGGGUGAUAAGAAUCUCUGUGAUCCAAAGCCUGUGGAUGGAGCCUUGACAAUGAUCUUGGUCAGAUUGGCAGUCGAUGACACCUCCCUUCCGUGCCUGGCACAUUUUUGUGCUGGAACAGAAACUGCCCUUUACCGAAUACGUCUUCUGCAGAAUCGCCUAAAUGUAGACCCUUUGAAUGAAAAAAAGUGGGUCCAAGGACUAAGUGCCAUUCAUGAGAGUCUGAACAAGAAAUGCCUCCCACUGUGCUCCAUGCAUGCAAGCGAUCUACUUGGCAAGAUUACUCUCCAAGAUAUUGAUUGUACUCAGUUUGUUGAUGUGAUGUGA
rnacentral:rRNA from 1 species